CCUACGGGUGGCAGCAGUGAUGAAUAUUGGUCAAUGGACGAGAGUCUGAACCAGCCAAGUAGCGUGAAGGAUGAAUGCCCUAUGGGUUGUAAACUUCUUUUAUAUGGGAAUAAAACGUUCCACGUGUGGGAUUUUGUAUGUACCAUAUGAAUAAGGAUCGGCUAACUCCGUGCCAGCAGCCGCGGUAAUACGGAGGAUCCGAGCGUUAUCCGGAUUUAUUGGGUUUAAAGGGAGCGUAGGUGGAUUGUUAAGUCAGUUGUGAAAGUUUGCGGCUCAACCGUAAAAUUGCAGUUGAAACUGGCAGUCUUGAGUACAGUAGAGGUGGGCGGAAUUCGUGGUGUAGCGGUGAAAUGCUUAGAUAUCACGAAGAACUCCGAUUGCGAAGGCAGUUCACUGGACUGCAACUGACACUGAGGCUCGAAAGUGUGGGUAUCAAACAGGAUUAGAUACCCCAGUAGUC
rnacentral:rRNA from 1 species